UCGUAAUUUGAAUAGAUUCAAUUAAAGAAAAAAAUUAGAUGGAGGAAAUAAGCGAAAGGGCUUUCAUCUCUCUCAGCCACGCCGCUGCCAAUCUCAUCUUUCUCUAAUCAUCGCCGACCAUCAACCCAAGUAAUGAACUCUUCUCGAUCUUUCUCAAUGAGACAACAUCAUAUUCAUGUGGGCAAUUCUAGAGGCUUUGCUGCAGGAAACAUAUGUCUAGGGAAAGUUGAAGUUGUUCAGAUCACCAAGUUUAAGGAAUAGUGGUUACCAUUGUUAUUCUCAACAUACUGAUACCCAAAUAAUUUGCAACUCUUGUUCUAUUCUAGGUCGUAUAAAUAAUGUCCAAAAAUGUAGCACUUGGAAGAUUUCAAUACGAUGAAGAGUUGCAGAAUUGUUUUUGUGAACUUAUGUAUCUUUUAUUUUUUUAUUGUGGGCAUUCGAUAGGAUUAGUUGUAAUGACAUUAAUUAUGUAAUUCAAUAUAAUUUUAUCUUUUAUGUCGUUCACACA